rnacentral:rRNA from 1 species
AGGCGGGUAGGCCUAACACAUGCAAGUCGACGGCAGCACAGUAAGAGCUUGCUCUUACGGGUGGCGAGUGGCGGACGGGUGAGGAAUACAUCGGAAUCUACUUUUUCGUGGGGGAUAACGUAGGGAAACUUACGCUAAUACCGCAUACGACCUACGGGUGAAAGCAGGGGAUCUUCGGACCUUGCGCGAUUGAAUGAGCCGAUGUCGGAUUAGCUAGUUGGCGGGGUAAAGGCCCACCAAGGCGACGAUCCGUAGCUGGUCUGAGAGGAUGAUCAGCCACACUGGAACUGAGACACGGUCCAGACUCCUACGGGAGGCAGCAGUGGGGAAUAUUGGACAAUGGGCGCAAGCCUGAUCCAGCCAUACCGCGUGGGUGAAGAAGGCCUUCGGGUUGUAAAGCCCUUUUGUUGGGAAAGAAAUCCAGCCGGCUAAUACCUGGUUGGGAUGACGGUACCCAAAGAAUAAGCACCGGCUAACUUCGUGCCAGCAGCCGCGGUAAUACGAAGGGUGCAAGCGUUACUCGGAAUUACUGGGCGUAAAGCGUGCGUAGGUGGUCGUUUAAGUCUGUUGUGAAAGCCCUGGGCUCAACCUGGGAACUGCAGUGGAAACUGGACGACUAGAGUGUGGUAGAGGGUAGCGGAAUUUCCUGGUGUAGCAGUGAAUUGCGUAGAGAUCAGGAGGAACAUCCAUGGCGAAGGCAGCUACCUGGGACCAACACUGACUCUGAGGCACGAAAGCGUGGGGGAGCAAACAGGAUUAGAUACCCUGGGUAGUCCACGCCCUAAACGAUGCGAACUGGAUGUUGGGGUGCAAUUUUGCCCGCGUUAUCAAAGCUUAAGCCGUUUU